GGUUGUGGCUCAAUGGUACAGCACUUGCCUAGCAUGUGUGAGGCACUGGGUUCAAUUCUCAACAACACA
rnacentral:tRNA from 1 species